rnacentral:rRNA from 1 species
UGAGUACGAGCUGCUACGGCAGCGAAGUGGGUGAUGUCAAGCUUCCAAGAAAAGCCCUAUACCCGUUAAGGCAUGACGGCCUGUACCCGAAACCGACACAGGUGGGGUGGUAGAGAAUACCGAGGGGCGCGAGAUAACUCUCUCUAAGGAACUCGGCAAAAUGGCCCCGUAACUUCGGGAGAAGGGGUGCCAUCGCAAGGUGGUCGCAGUGAAGAGGCCCAGGCGACUGUUUACCAAAAACACAGGUCUCCGCUAAGUCGCAAGACGAUGUAUGGGGGCUGACGCCUGCCCAGUGCCGGAAGGUUAAGGAAGCUGGUCAGCGCAAGCGAAGCUAGCGACUGAAGCCCCGGUGAACGGCGGCCGUAACUAUAACGGUCCUAAGGUAGCGAAAUUCCUUGUCGGGUAAGUUCCGACCCGCACGAAAGGCGUAACGAUCUGGGCGCUGUCUCGGAGAGAGGCUCGGCGAAAUAGAAUUGUCUGUGAAGAUGCGGACUACGUGCACCCGGACAGAAAGACCCUAUGAAGCUUUACUGUAGCUUGGUAUUGUGCCCGGGCUCUGAAUGCGCAGGAUAGGUGGGAGGCUUUGAUCCAUGGCUUGCGGGUCAUGGUGAGCCAACGGUGAGAUACCACUCUUUCAGAGCUAGGGUUCUAACAGCCACCCGUUAUCCGGGGGCUGGACAGUAUCAGGUGGGCAGUUUGACUGGGGCGGUCGCCUCCUAAAAGGUAACGGAGGCGCGCAAAGGUUUGCUCAGGCUGGUUGGAAAUCAGCCGACGAGUGCAAAAGCAGAAGCAAGCUUGACUGUGAGACCAACAAGUCGAACAGGGACGAAAGUCGGCUUUAGUGAUCCGACGGUUCUGAGUGGAAGGGCCGUCGCUCAACGGAUAAAAGUUACUCUAGGAUAACAGGCUGAUCUCCCCCAAGAGUUCACAUCGACGGGGAGGUUUGGCACCUCGAUGUCGGCUCAUCGCAACCUGGGGCUGAAGUCGGUCCCAAGGGUUGGGCUGUUCGCCCAUUAAAGCGGUACGCGAGCUGGGUUCAGAACGUCGUGAGACAGUUCGGUCCAUAUCCGGUGCAUGCGUAAGAACAUUGAGAGGAGUUCUCCCUAGUACGAGAGGACCGGGAGGAACGCACCUCUGGUGUACCAGUUAUCGUGCCAACGGUAAACGCUGGGUAGCCAUGUGCGGAGAGGAUAACCGCUGAAAGCAUCUAAGUGGGAAGCCCACCUCAAGAUGAGUGUUCUCAUGGCUUAAGCCAGUAAGGUCACGGGAAGAACACCCGUUGAUAGGCUCUACGUGGAAGCGCAGCAAUGUGUGAAGCGGAGGAGUACUAAUAGACCGAGGGCUUGAC